rnacentral:rRNA from 1 species
GACGAACGCUGGCGGCGUGCUUAACACAUGCAAGUCGAACGGAAAGGCCCUGCUUUUGUGGGGUGCUCGAGUGGCGAACGGGUGAGUAACACGUGAGUAACCUGCCCUUGACUUUGGGAUAACUUCAGGAAACUGGGGCUAAUACCGGAUAGGAGCUCCUGCUGCAUGGUGGGGGUUGGAAAGUUUCGGCGGUUGGGGAUGGACUCGCGGCUUAUCAGCUUGUUGGUGGGGUAGUGGCUUACCAAGGCUUUGACGGGUAGCCGGCCUGAGAGGGUGACCGGCCACAUUGGGAUGGGGAAACGGCCCAACCCCCACGGGGGGGAAGCGGGGGGGAAUUUUGCCAAAUGGGGGGAAGCCUGAUGAAGAAACGCCGGGGGGGGGAAGACGGCCUUGGGGUGGUAAACCGUUUUCGCCUGGGACGAGGGGUGGGGGGCGGUAAUGGGUAAAGAAGCCCCGGCUAACAACGU